CCCUGUCUGAAACCUGGUAUUCCCAAGGCAAAAGGAAAGAGCAGGGUGACUGGAAGGACAUGAUGGCUCUUAAAGCUUCUGUUCAGAGCUGGUUUAUGCCAUGUCCACCUCCGACUCAUAGGCCAUACGAAAUUACAAGGCCAGGCCUGAUGAUGGGGGGGGCUUUCCGCAAAUCUCACGGCAGGGGUGAACAAUCCUCUUGCAGAAAGUUGGCAGCAGAUGAGGAGGACUAUGAUACAGCCUACCCUGCCCAGUCAGCUUUCUGUGCACAGUGACAACUGGCCUUUUUAGCAGCAUUAUUUAAUGAAUGCAACUGACAGUGAAGAAAGUCAUUUUAUACCAGAGAAGCCAUGCCAGCGCUGUAAUAAAACCAGGCCCUGGGGGGAAAGGUCAGAACUUGGGCAGAGGGCUCCCUUUCCAGUUCAGGGCAUUCUAGCCAGUGAGCAGGUCGGAGGCCCAGCCCUCCUUGGGCUGCUGGGAUUUCCUUUUGAUGCAAGUUGGGGUCACUGCCUCCCUGAGGCUAUGGGUUCAGCCUGUAUGGAACUUUGGUGGUAGGGAUUUUUGGUGUUUUUUUUCCCUAAUAAACAAAGCAAGGGGCCAGAUGGGAGAAGCAGGCCACACUGUCUGAAAUCUACGGAAGUGCUGUGGUUUCGGCUGCUGUAAACAUCUGGAUGCAGGAGAUGGCGUGGGCAGAUGCAGGCUGAGAGCUGACCCACGUUCUUCAGAGGCCACAGGCCCCAAUUUCUAUCUCUAACUGCCCACCAUCCCCCCUGUUUUUGGCAAAAAAAACAAUCAGAUUAUUGGAAUAGUAGCAUUUCGGAUAAAAAAUAGAAUUAUAUAAUUACAAAAAGCAGGAAGAUUUGGAAGGGACUCUUGAUAUUAUCCGGGUGUACCCUAUCAAAGACAGAAAGCCCAGAUAUGGUAAGUGGCCAGCCCAAGGUCCCCGGGGAAACCUAGACACACUGCAUCCUGUCUUCCUGGUGCCCAGCACCAAGGGUGUGCCCAGUCUGUGGGCUCAAUGAGGGAAGGAUAACGGAAUGGACUGAUCCAUGGAUCCCACUCCAGGAUUUUCAGGCAGCGGGGCUCCUGGUGAAGGGUCAGGCCCAAGUCCAAAGGUCUUCAAGAUCUGAGAUUCUUUUUGUUCCUCCAAUGGGGGGAGGGAGGGGCACGGUGAGGCCUCUUGAGGUUUGUGAUUCCUGCUCUCCAAGGUUGUGUCAGCUCAACCUAAAAGCAUGUCUGGAUGUCCUGUAAAUAAUCUGGUAAAUCUCUGCUCUCAGGAGCAAGCAAAUCAGAACACAUAACUCUUGGGCCUCCAGGUCUGACAUUUCGGCUGGAGCAACAGUGGUGUGACCUGGUGGAAACAGGACUCCCGAGACUCGACUUCUUUAUUUUCUUCGUCCAGACUUUCCCAAAAGCUGGUGCUCUGAGAUUCCCCUUCAGGAGGAGGAUGCUCGGUGUGAAUGGACGGUCUGAGGUGCCAAAAUAAGUAACAUUCAUCAGGUUAUGUUAAUAGGAGCCAAGCCUUUACCGUGGAUUCUCCCUGAUGCUCUCAAACACCCACGAGCAUGUUAUGGGACAGGGCUUCUGUGACCUUCCUUUCGGAAGCUGACCUCUCGCUCUCCAGGAGGACACCCAGCCAUCAGGGAGAGACCUGCCUUCCAACGGCUCUUGCCCGGCUCUGGUAUCUGCAGGAAGCUGCAGGAAGUCACGGGAGUUGAACUGGGCCAGAACCUUUGGACUGGGCAAACCUCAAUUGUUGAAGAAGCCAGCAGGAGGAAGGACAUCCUGAUCACAAGACGAUGGACGUGGACUUGCUGAAGGUACCAUCCGUAGUCAGUCAAUGUGUAACCCAGACGGCUUAGCUUGUUAACACCCAGAAGAAGCUUUUUUUCCCCUUAACUCAUGUAAUUGCCCCUCAACCCUUCUUUCUUUUCCUCAUAAACCCCCCUUGCUUUCACCCUAUAAGCAGCACUGUUUGGGUAUCUACCUGAGUCUGUGCUCCCCAAAUUGUAAUUCUGAGACCCUAAAUCAAAGGUUUUUAUUCUUUUUCAGUUUUGCCUCCAUUUGUCAGUUGACAAUGGUUACACCAUCAAGGUCACCCAGGGCAGAGAGCCAGCUCGGGGCAGGAGGGCCCUUGCCACUUGCUCCACCACCCAGCAUCUCCAGGGUUGGGAAUCAUUACUUUAGGAGAUGGGCGGGAGGGUCCUGUCUGAUCUAUGAAAUGUGGGUGCAGCCCCAGGUCACCUGGGCAUGUUCAGAGAGCCCCCCACCCCCGACCCCCGUCUCCACAAGCAGGAAGGAAGGACAGAGGGUGUGAAAUGCCUCCAAUCAGGAAAGAUGUCUCUGAGUGAGGGGGCACGAGGCUGGACUGGGGUGAGUCCUGGAGGCUGGAAGUGCAGGAGGGGCCACAGUCCGGGAAGGGCAGAGAGCAGCAGAUCCGGGAGCGGAUCCUGACCGGGUUUCUCGGACGGACGUGUCCUGGUCCGCAGCCCCGCCUCCGUAAGGGGCCGCUGGGCGGAAGGAUGCUGAGCCUCCGGGCUGACUCGGGCCCUCCUCCUCCCGCAUUCCAUCAGCCGCUGUUUCUUGCAUGGUUGUUUAUUCCCAGCUUUAUUUACCAUUCUCAAGACUCUUCAUUAUUGUCUUGUUU